rnacentral:tRNA from 1 species
UUCAGGGAGACCUUACCCACUCAAUUCCGAGAGCAAUCAGCUAAUAGGAAUGAGUUUGGUCAACCUAGGUCGUUCGAGGAAUUUGUGUGGCUCUCAAACUUGUCUGGGUUUGCUUCUAAGAAGAAGGAAAACGAGGGCUAUUAGCUCAGGUGGUUAGAGCGCACCCCUGAUAAGGGUGAGGUCCCUGGUUCGAGUCCAGGAUGGCCCACCUUCGGAACGCUCAAAGAGAUUUGUCUCUUUAAAUCGGUUCUCUGAAAGAGAAUCAAAAGUUUUGCCUUCCAAGAAGAAAUAACGUGAGUUCAGCAACUUCUAACGAUUCAGAAGACUGCUGAACUAAUGUUCAGCCAGAACCUUGAAAACUGCAUAGCAACAAAAGCCAAAGCAAGGUA